CAUUUACCUUCGGAACCGCUGCACACCCUCUCUCAGGAACCUGGCAUCUCACACCCACGCCUCGAAAGACCCGCACCGAAGCUUCAAGAGGAUCAGCGUGUGAAGAUCACUUUAUAAUGAUUUGAAAAAGGUUGCCAUGGCUACAGAAAUUGGAGGAGCAUCCUUAGAUGACACAAUACAACCAGCUGUGCGAUUCCUCAUGUCCCAUGAACUGGAAGUCCAGUUCAACCUUUUUGGCCAACAUUGGAAACAAGCUCUUGGACCUGCGUCUCUUUGAUGUUUUGUAUGGGGACUUAAAAGAAAUUAUCCAUCUACAGAAUCACACAAGCAUACAGCAAAGACUCGAAGUGGUUUACUGGAGCCCGAGUGGAAGUGGAAAUAGACUAGAGAGACUGCCAGUUCAAACUCAGGUUGGGGAGGUCUUUCAAGAUGGACAGUUUCAGUAAAGUAUGAGAGAUUUCAAAUUUAAGCAUGCAUAUGGCAUGUAGGUUAUUUUUAAAAAUGUUUAACAAAAAUGUAUUGUGAAAGAUCUAUAUAGGUGUGUAUAUUCACAUUGUGUGUAUCAAUGUGAAUAUACGUGUAUAAAGUUAUAUAGAUAGUAUUUAGAUGUAUACAUUUAUAGACCUGUAGGAAAAUAUGUA